AAACUUGAGAGUUUGAUCAUGGCUCAGAACGUACGCUGGCGGCACGCCUAACACAUGCAAGUCGAACGAAGUAGCAAUACUUAGUGGCAGACGGGUGAGUAACAUGUGGGUAUCUGCCCUUUGGCCUGGAAUAACACGAGGAAACUUGUGCUAAUACCGGAUAAGUCUUUACAGAGAAAGCUUUAUGCACCAUUGGAUGAGCCCGCACUUGAUUAGUUUGUUGGUGGGGUAAUGGCCUACCAAGACUUUGAUCAAUAGCUGAUUUGAGAGGAUGAUCAGCCACAUUGGGACUGAGACACGGCCCAAACUCCUACGGGAGGCAGCAGUGGGGAAUCUUGCACAAUGGAGGAAACUCUGAUGCAGCGAUGCCGCGUGAGUGAAGAAGGCCUUUGGGUUGUAAAGCUCUUUCGUCGGGGAAGAAAAUGACUGUACCCGAAUAAGAAGGUCCGGCUAACUUCGUGCCAGCAGCCGCGGUAAUACGAAGGGACCUAGCGUAGUUCGGAAUUACUGGGCUUAAAGAGUUCGUAGGUGGUUGAAAAAGUUGGUGGUGAAAUCCCAGAGCUUAACUCUGGAACUGCCAUCAAAACUUUUCAGCUAGAGUUUGAUAGAGGAAAGCAGAAUUUCUAGUGUAGAGGUGAAAUUCGUAGAUAUUAGAAAGAAUACCAAUUGCGAAGGCAGCUUUCUGGAUCAUUACUGACACUGAGGAACGAAAGCAUGGGUAGCGAAGAGGAUUAGAUACCCUCGUAGUCCAUGCCGUAAACGAUGUGUGUUAGACGUUGGAAAUUUAUUUUCAGUGUCGCAGCGAAAGCGAUAAACACACCGCCUGGGGAGUACGACCGCAAGGUUAAAACUCAAAUGAAUUGACGGGGACCCGCACAAGUAGUGGAGCAUGUGGUUUAAUUCGAAGAUACGCGCAGAACCUUACCAACACUUGACAUGUUCGUCGCGACUUUAAGAGAUUAAAGUUUUCGGUUCGGCCGGACGAAACACAGGUGCUGCAUGGCUGUCGUCAGCUCGUGUCGUGAGAUGUUGGGUUAAGUCCCGCAACGAGCGCAACCCUCACUUUUAGUUGCCAUCAUUAAGUUGGGCACUCUGAAAGAACUGCCAGUGAUAAGCUGGAGGAAGGUGGGGAUGACGUCAAGUCCUCAUGGCCCUUACGUGUUGGGCUACACACGUGCUACAAUGGUAUCUACAACAGGAAGCGAAACAGCGAUGUUAAGCAAAUCCUUAAAAGAUACCUCAGUUCGGAUUGCACUCUGCAACUCGAGUGCAUGAAGCUGGAAUUACUAGUAAUCGUGGAUCAGCGUGCCACGGUGAAUGCGUUCCCGGGUCUUGUACACACCGCCCGUCACACCAUGGGAGUUGGUUCUACCUUAAGGCAAGGUUUAAUACCCUUGACCACGGUAUAGUCAGCGACUGGGGUGAAGUCGUAACAAGGUAGCCGUAGGGGAACCUGCGGCUGGAUUACCUCCUUU
rnacentral:rRNA from 1 species